rnacentral:rRNA from 1 species
GAUGAACGCUGACAGAAUGCUUAACACAUGCAAGUCAACUUUGGCGGACGGGUGAGUAACGCGUAAAGAACUUGCCUCACUGCUAGGGACAACAUUUGGAAACGAAUGCUAAUACCUGAUACUGUGAGAGAGCUUUGCGUCCCAUUAGCUAGUUGGAGAGGUAACGGCUCAGAAAGGCGAUGAUGGGUAGCCGGCCUGGGAGGGUGAUCGGCCACAAGGGGACUGAGACACGGCCAGUACUACUAAGGGAGGAAGCAGUGGGGAAUAUUGGAAAAUGGGCCAAAGUCUGAUCCAGCAAUUCUGUGUGCACGAUGAAGUUUUCGGAAUGUAAAGUGCUUUCAGUUGGGAAGCGGUACCAACAGAAGAAGUGACGGCUAAAUACGUGCCAGCAGCCGCGGUAAUAC